UACGAAGGGGGCUAGCGUUGUUCGGAAUUACUGGGCGUAAAGCGCGCGCAGGCGGUUCUCCAAGUCAGUGGUGAAAGCCCGGAGCUCAACUCCGGAACUGCCAUUGAAACUGUUGAACUUGAGGACGAGAGAGGUGAGUGGAAUUCCCAGUGUAGAGGUGAAAUUCGUAGAUAUUGGGAAGAACACCGGUGGCGAAGGCGGCUCACUGGCUCGUAUCUGACGCUCAGGCGC
rnacentral:rRNA from 1 species